rnacentral:lncRNA from 1 species
CAACUUUGCUAUCUUAGAACGGAUCACCAGUGAAAGAGGGGAAGUUGCUACUGUGAUGAAUUCUGCCAUGUGGUACCAGACUGCUGCCCAGACCACAGUGUCCUCUGCAACCCUGGUAACUCACAUACAGGCCUGAUUCCACCUACAGCAAAGCUGGAUGCUAUGGUUGGCAGAGGCAAGCCCCUUGCCUGCACUUCAGGCCAAAGCCGGGAUGUGGCCUAGAUGGUUCCUAAGGUCCCUGACAGUCCUGAGAUCUUUCAUCUUGUCUAUUUCAGGUCAAAGGUGCCUACAUGUUCCUUCUAGCUUUGUUUCCCUGAUGUUCCUUGCCACCUGCUACUCCUCUCUGAGCUACUUUUCCAGGUUCCACAGGGAGAGGUUCAGCUGUCCAUGGUAGACAUGAGGGUAGAGAAUGAGAUGGUUGGGUUCCACUUACCUUUCUAUCAUCUUGCAGUAUGGAUGUCUCUUGACUGGUACCAUGUAGACUUUUGAGGGCAGACAGGAGUCUGCAGAGAGAUACUGGGGAUAUUGAGCAGCAGCAAUGGGGUUGGGAGGCAGAAAUGAGGACAGGAACAUUUACCUUGUGUUUCUCUCAGCUUCUCAGAUGACCAAGAUGGUGCUGCCGAUGGUGUUGAGGACGGAGAACCCACCAAGCCCCGUUAGGAGCCACCUAGACUGGAUGCAGAGCACACUUUCUCCUGGCUUCAAGUUGUCCCACCUUUGCUUGGCAUUGCCCUGCCUUUUCCAGACUGAACAAAUGUUCAUCUUACAUAUGUUGAUUGAUGUCUCAUGUCUCCCUAAAACAUAUGAAAUCAAGCUGUGCUCUGACCACCUUGGCACAUGUCGUCAGGACCUCCUGAGGCUGUGUCACGGACGCGCAUCUUC